UAAGUAGGUAGUGAAAUCUGACGGCUCAACCGUACAGGCUAUUACCUAAACUGGCAAACUCGAGAAUGGUAGAGGUAACUGGAAUUUCUUGUGUAGGAGUGAAAUCCGUAGAUAUACGAAGGAACACCAAUGGCGUAGGCAGGCUACUGGACCAUUUCUGACGCUAAGGCACGAAAGCGUGGGGAGCGACCGGGAUUAGAUACCCCGUUAGUCCACGCCGUAAACGAUGGAUGCUA
rnacentral:rRNA from 1 species